GCAGCAUUGCUUGCGGUUUAGAGGCUUGGAUACGGAAGGUUUGUGUCCUCUCUGUGAUUGUGAAGCUGAAACUAUUGAUCAUGCUUUUUUGUCAUGCAAUCAUGUUCAGAUGCUUUUGAUUGGAUCUCUACUUGGCUUACGUUUACUAUAUUGCAUCUAGGAGCAUUGAAACAAUGUCAUUUUUAAGGAGUUGCAGCUUGAUGAGUCGCCGUCUCUUCAACGAUCUUCACACUGCAUGCUCUUCCUGAUUUGUGUUUUGUUUCGUCCAUGGCUGCCCCUUUGACGGUUACAUGGCAGCAAACCAGCAACCUUCGGGUGGGAAAAUCAAAAUUAAUUUUGAUGUGUCAGUUGUUGAGCAUUUGGUUGUGGGGUUUGGUCUCCUUGCCGGUGAUCAUGAGGGUGAGGUUCUCGCUGCAACUAGCGCUUUCCCCCUCUCGGUGUUGUCUCCUUUGAUAGCCGAGGCGUUUUGUUGGGCUCUUUCUUCAUAUAUGACUUCAUGUUUUGGAUCAUUUUGCUUUGAGAUAGGCUAUUUACAGCUCUAUGAGACUUGGAUGAAGACUUAGCCCGGGUCUUCGUAUGUUUGCACUUUAGUGAAUGAUUGUCGUUUACUUGCUUGUUAUUUUGAUUUUAUUGAACCCUCUUUUGUU